ensembl:misc_RNA Metazoa_SRP Metazoan signal recognition particle RNA
GCCGGGUGUGGUAGCACACGCCUGUAAUCCCCACUACUUAGGAGGCUGAGGCAGGAGAAUCACUUGAGCCUGGGAGGUGGAGGUUGCAGUGAGCUAAGAUCGUGCCACUGCACUCCAGCCUGGGCAACAGAGUGAGACUCUGUCUCAA